rnacentral:rRNA from 1 species
CCUACGGGUGGCAGCAGUGGGGAAUAUUGCACAAUGGGGGAAACCCUGAUGCAGCGACGCCGCGUGAGUGAAGAAGUAUUUCGGUAUUUUAAGCUCUAUCAGCAGGGAAGAAAAAGACGGUACCUGAUUAAGAAUGCCCGGCGAACUACGUGCCAGCAGCCGCGGUAAGACGUAGGGGGCCAGCGUUAUCCGGAUUUACUGGGUGUAAAGGGAGCGUAGACGGCAGCACAAGUCUGUAGUGAAAUGCCGGGGCUCAACCCCGGAACUGCUUUUGAAACUGGGCAGCUAGAGUGCAGGCGAGGUAAGUGGAAUGCCUAGUGUAGCGGUGAAAUGCGUAGAUAUUAGGCGGAACACCAGUGGCGAAGGCGGCUUACUGGACUGUAACUGACGUUGAGGCACGAAAGCGUGGGGAGCAAACAGGAUUAGAUACCCGAGUAGUC